AGCCUAGCACUAAGAUGGAAGAUCCUGCUGUGAAAGGAGCAGUACAAAGAAAGAAUGUUCAGACAUUGAGAGCAGAACAAGACAUACUAGUGGCUUCAGAGGAAGAGCGAGAAAGCCUUGAAAGAAGUGAAAAGAAGCAACCACAGCUAAGUUUAAAACAUGCACUCUGACAGAAAAAGACAUCUGAGAAACAAAACAAGAAAAUUGGUUUUCACCUUUUGCACCUG